rnacentral:rRNA from 1 species
GACGAACGCUGGCGGCGUGCUUAACACAUGCAAGUCGAACGGAAAGGCCCUUCUGGUUACUCGAGUGGCGAACGGGUGCGUAACACGUGGGUGAUCUUCCCUUCACUUUGGGAUAAGCCUGGGAAACUGGGUCUAAUACCGAAUAGGACCACGCGCUUCAUGGUGUGUGGUGGAAAGCUUUUGCGGUGUGGGAUGGGCCCGCGGCCUAUCAGCUUGUUGGUGGGGUAAUGGCCUACCAAGGCGACGACGGGUAGCCGGCCUGAGAGGGUGACCGGCCACACUGGGACUGAGAUACGGCCCAGACUCCUACGGGAGGCAGCAGUGGGGAAUAUUGCAAAAUGGGCGCAAGCCUGAUGCAGCGACGCCGCGGGAGGGAUGACGGCCUUCGGGUUGUAAACCUCUUUCAAUAGGGACGAAGCGCAAGUGACGGUACCUAGAGAAGAAGCACCGGCCAACUACGUGC